UCCCCAUGGAGCUCAUAUCUAGCUGGGAAAUGUGGUAGUUUUAAGACAUGUCUGCAAAUUCUUUCAUCUUUUUCUCAUCAAGAUGUGGGUUCUCUAUUCCUCACCUUGAACCUGGGCCCACCUUAAUGAUUGGUUGGUCACCAGCAUAAAGAGGAAGUGAUAUUCUGUGACUUCCAGGCUGGGCCAUAGAAGCCAGGCAGUUUCCUCUUGGUUCCCUGGAUCACUUGCACUGGAGCUGCCACGUAAGAAGUCUGACCAUCCCGAGGCCUCUAUGCUGUGAGGAAGCCCAAAUUAGUCCACAUGGAGAUGCCCUGAGUCUACAAGAAAAGAGAGGACAGACAGAGAUGCUCCUCUAGACACCAUUUCGCUGAAACCACAUGAGGGUUCACCAAGCCAAGACCGCUGAGCUGAGCCUUUCCCAGGUUCCUGACCACAGAAACCAUAAGAGAUAAUAACGUGAUUGAUGGUGGCCAGACACAGUGACUCACACCUGAAAUCCCAGCACUUUGGGAGGCUGAGAUCUAUGCCCCUUGAUAUGACUUUGCAGUUCCUUCUACUAAGAAGAUGAAUCCAUUUCUCCACCCGCUGAGUCUGGGCUGGUCUUGUGAUGUGCGUUAGUCAAUAGAAGUGGCUGAAGUGAUGGCGCGCCAGUUUUUAGCCUACACUUCAAGAAGCCUAUGGACUUCCACUUGCUGUCUUGAAACCCUGUUUGAAAAAGGUUCCCUGAGGACAAGGCCAGACUAGCCUGCUGGAGGGUGAGAGACCACAGGGAGCAGAGACAAGUCAGCUCACAUUAGCAGAACCUCUCAGUCAAUCCACAGACCCAUGAGAAAGCUAAAGCUUGGUGAGAUUACGGAAGCCUACAGUUACACAGCUGACUCCCUCCAGAGGCCCCAUCCACACCCACUGUUGGACUCCUGCUACUCUCGGAGGCUUGGAGUUGGUUUCUCCUCCCCCAAAUCGGUCUCAACACUUACCCUUACUUCCUGCUCUUCGUGGUCUCAGCCUCACUGUUCUUCGUGGACUCAUUUUUUCUCUUCCCUUUGUUUUAUUUUUGUCUCUUUCUUUCUUUUUUGGCUUCAGUGGAGUCCUAGCCUUAAGGUUUUCCUUCUCUAACCCCUUGUUCCCCUUCCAUUCUCUUUCCAGCCCUCUGUAAGCUGCAGCACAGUGUUUACAGUUAAGCCAGCCUCCAUUGAGGCCUUCAGUUGCCGAAGUUCAAAAAAAUCAACCUAGAAUAACAACGUAUUGUUAUAUAAAUGGCAUCUCAGAAAUAAACUAGUCAAAUACGCUUAUCCCCACAGUUCACAUGGGGGAAAAGCUUGCUACCUGAUGUUCUAAUACAUAAUAGUUGUUUUCUCA
rnacentral:lncRNA from 1 species